rnacentral:rRNA from 1 species
AACAAACGCUGGCGGCGUGCCUAACACAUGCAAGUCGUACGAGAAAGGGUCCUUCGGGACCUGAGUAAAGUGGCGCACGGGUGAGUAACGCGUGGAUAAUCUACCCUUCAGUUGGGAACAACUCAUCGAAAGGUGGGCUAAUACCGAAUAACACUGCAAGACCCUGGUUGAGCAGUCAAAGAGAGCCUCUGCUUGCAAGCCCUCGCUGAAGGACGAGUCCGCGUACCAUUAGCUAGUUGGUAGGGUAAUGGCCUACCAAGGCGACGAUGGUUAGCUGGUCUGAGAGGAUGAUCAGCCACACUGGAAGUGAGACACGGUCCAGACUCCUACGGGAGGCAGCAGUGAGGAAUCGUGCGCAAUGGGGGAAACCCUGACGCAGCAACGCCGCGUGAGUGAGGAAGGCCUUCGGGUCGUAAAGCUCUGUCAGUUGGAAAGAAAUGCUUGAGAGUUAAUACCUUUCAAGCUUGACGGUACCAACAGAGGAAGCACCGGCUAACUCCGUGCCAGCAGCCGCCGUAAUAC